CCUCCAGCUGACAGAACUGGACCUGAGAGGAAACAACCUGGAGGAUUCAGAUGUUCAGCAGCUGAAGGAUCUUGUAAAGACUUUACUGUGGAAGGACUGAUGAUCUCUGUAAAGUAGAGAACGGUCUCUGUGUCCUGCUGAUCCUCAGAGGUUGAAGCUGCAGCAGUUUGAGUCUAAAGAGACUCUGACUGGAUCAUGAUGAUGACCUCUGACCUCCAAGAUUUUCCUCCUGUUUAUUUUCUCAUGUCUGUCAUUUAGUGUCUGAUAUUGUUUGUCUCUUUGGAUCAAUAAAGAUCCGAUUCAAACUGG